GUGCCAGCAGCCGCGGUAAUACGUAGGUCCCAAGCGUUGUCCGGAUUUAUUGGGCGUAAAGCGAGCGCAGGUGGUUCUUAAGUCUGAUGUAAAAGGCAGUGGCUCAACCAUUGUGUGCAUUGGAAACUGGGAGACUUGAGUGCAGGAGAGGAGAGUGGAAUUCCAUGUGUAGCGGUGAAAUGCGUAGAUAUAUGGAGGAACACCGGAGGCGAAAGCGGCUCUCUGGCCUGUAACUGACACUGAGGCUCGAAAGCGUGGGGAGCAAACAGGAUUAGAUACCCUGGUAGUCCACGCCGUAAACGAUGAGUGCUAGCUGUAGGGAGCUAUAAGUUCUCUGUAGCGCAGCUAACGCAUUAAGCACUCCGCCUGGGGAGUACGACCGCAAGGUUGAAACUCAAAGGAAUUGACGGGGCCCGCACAAGCGGUGAGCAUGUGGUUAAUCGAAGCAACGCGAAGAACCUUACCAAGGUCUUGACAUACUCGUGCUAUCCUUAGAGAUAAGGA
rnacentral:rRNA from 1 species